AAUUCUGAUAUGGAUUUCAAAGGGAAUGACUUUGAGUACUUACCCUUUGGUGCAGGACGAAGAAUAUGCCCAGCCCUGCCAAUGGCUGCAAUAGAAAUUCCGUUAGUCCUUGCUUUACUUGUUCGUUUCUUUGAUUGGGAACUUCCUCAUGGAAAAUGUCCUGUUGAGCUAGACAUGACUGAACAGUUUGGAGUAACACUACAAAAGAAAGAACCGCUGCUUCUG
rnacentral:misc_RNA from 1 species